UAAGAAAAUCCAAAUUGCUAGAGUGAAUAUUAAGUUCACAAAGAUCAAUAUGUGGCUUGAACAAACAAAUUUGGUUAUUGAUUUCUUUUCCCUUCUAAUAGAAUUAUGAUCUUCAAGGACUGAUCUCCUGAAAUGAGGUAAUCAAGUACAGGUAACCUACAAAAUAAGAAAACUUUGAAAUCCAUUCCAAUCUUAUGAGGGACAAAAAAAAGUAUUCAAAGUAAAUUUAUUAUCAAAGUACAUACUAUACUUGUGCACUAUAUGGGACUCAGAUACAUUUUCUUGCAGGCAUUCACAGCAAAUACAAAGAAACACAACUGAAUGAAAAAAAAUGACAAACAACCAAUGUGCAAAUACAAAAAACAAACAAAAUAGUAAUCCGCAAUAAAUAAGCAAUAAAUGUCAAGAACACGAGUUGAGUCCUUGAAAGUGAGUCCACCUGUUGUGGGAACAGUUCAGUGCUGGAAUGAGCAAAGUCGAGUUACCCCUUUGGUUUGAGAGCCUGUUGGUCGAGGGAUAUUAACUGUUCCUGAACCUGAUGGUGUGGGUCCUGAGGCUCUAUACCGCAGGGCUGCCAACCUUUUUUAUGCCAUGGAACCUUACCAUUAAUGGAGAGGUAUGUGAACCCCAUGCUGGGAACCCCUGUUUACCACCCUCCUGAUAGCAGCAGCUAGAAGAGAGCACGGCCUGGAUGGUGGGGGUCCUUAAUGCUUUCCUGUGACAGUGCUCCUUGUAGAUGUGCUCAGUGAUAGGGAGGGCUUUGCCUGUGAUGGACUGUGUUGCAUCCACUACUUUUUCUAGGAUUUUCCAAUCAAGGCCAUUGCUAUUUCCAUACCUGGCCAUGAUGCAACCAGUCAGUAUACUCUCCACUGCGCAUCUUUAGAAGUCUGUUAAGAGUUUUAGAUGACAUGCCAAAUCUUCACAAACUUUGAAGAAAGUAGUGGUGCUGCUGUGCCUUCUUUGUACCCAGGACAGAUCUUCUGAAAUGCUAACGCCAGGGAAUUGAAAGUGACUGAUCCUCUCCUCCUCUGACUCAGUGAUGAGGACUGGCUCAUGGGCCUCUGAUUUCUUCCUGCUGCAGUCAACCAGCUCUGUGGUUUUGCUGACAAUGCCUGAGAGGUUAUUGUUGUGGCACCACUCAGCCAGAUUUUCAAUCUCCCUCCUACAUGCCGAUUUCUCACCGCCUUAUGAUUCAGCCUACGACAGUGGUGUGAUCAGCAAAUAAAUUCUCAAGAACAAUUUUAAUUUAUUCAACCUAACCAAUUUCAUUUUAUAUUAAAAAAAUUGCCUUAUUUGGAGCAAGAUGUCAUUUCAACAAAGAGACAGCUCCUAUGGGGCUGAAGUUAAUAAAUUGUUUAACAUCCCAGGUAAAAUGAAGGCUCUAAAAGUUGGAAAGGCAUGAGUUUUUCCCAAAAGCUCACUAGCAGUCAAUGAAGUAGGUCACUAAUUUAUACAAUGUUACAUCAAUUUCAUUCAAAAAAUAAAGAAAUGCAUUCAGAUUAAUAAUCACUAAUAUGGGUCAUAUCAAUUUCUAGAAAGCACUUGAUUAUGUUCUAGAUAAGUAGUUUGAGAAAAGGAGAGCCUGCCAUAAAAGGAAAAAUUUGAAUCUCAGGCAGAUGUAAGUAUGAUUCAAUGCAGGAAACUGAAAGAAGAUGGAUAUUUCAAUGUGGGAACACAAAUUAAAAUGGAAAGCAUGGCAAAUGUGUUCUUCUACCAAACAAAAAUAUUAAAACAAUUGUUAUCUUUUACAGGCAUAAGCAAUCAUGAUGACAGACAGGAUUUGAGUUUAUUCCAAGAAGAACGGAAUAUUUGAAAAUAAAUGUGCGCAAUUCCAUGUGGUGUAACCAAUCCAGCUACUUGUUCACCUACUCAACUUCCAUCCAUGACGUGCAGGCAAGGAUGAUGGCUGGGGUCCUGACAGAGUCUUUGAUCUUCAGUGGCACUCAAACCCUGGUUCUGCAUGGGAGUGUGUUCCCAUUCUUGGAGCUCGUCAAUCAGCCAUGCUUUCAAUAUGUCCAGGUAUGGCCUAAAAUUGGGCAUCUUUAGGGUGUAGCCUUGCGCAGCCCUGUGGACACAAAUUUUUGUCUAUGUUGUGAACUGAAACAUCGCAGAAACCGGACCAUCGAAACAACGAGAGCAGCUGUCAGAGGCCACUGCACUGUGAUGGAUCUCACUCUUUCAUUGGGUAAUGAGAUUUUUGCUGCCGGUUCUCGAGUUGGGGAACUCGAAAUAAAAGCAACGCUUCAGAUUGUGAUUGACUGUUUGCGUUCCCUCUCGUUUUCGAAGGGUGAUAGCUGCCUCUACCUUAUUAGUAUGACAGAGAGCCUGCGGAUGUCAAAAUGUUGGAAUGAACAAUUAGUUUUUGAUGUACUGUAGACCACAGUACAUGGUGGGUGAUGAGAAUGCUGGUGCUUUCUGCUAGAAUGGGGAGGGUUGAUGCUGCUUGCGCAUGUGAGAAGGACAGGGGGCUUCUUAAGUUUUUUUUCCCCUGUAGUUCAUUCUUUGGGGUUUUUCUUCUGUUUUGAGGAUGUCUGCAGAGAAUGAGAAUUUCAGGUUGUACAUUGUAUACAUUCUCUGAUAUUAAAUGAAACCAUUGAAAUAUUAGGAAUUAUCCAUCUGCAAUUGAGCAACCUUUUAAAGUUCUUUUAAGGUAAAUAUAAUUUAGCUGACUAAGAUUAACUGACUUGUGAUUUUCAAUAGCAAUCUUUACUUCCAUAUGUAACCUCAACUUCCUCCAAUGCAGCACAAAAUUACUAAGAUACUAAUUAUAGUAAAUCCAAUGUAACUUGUACACAUGGCAACUAAAUACCCCAUCUGUAAGAACAAAAUUAAAAUUUAUUAUUUAAGGAAGGAACCUUCUGGAAGUCACACUAAAGUGGUGAAAAUGCCAAGACAGGAUCAUUUUUCUUCUAGCCAAACAUAGGCUAAGCUCCUUGCCAAAAUGAAGAUAUCAAAGAUAUGAAUAUUUCCUUCAUUAGAUAUGACAACAAAUUGCAAUGACUCUGCAGUAGUAGAAAACUGUACUGAAUAAAAAGAAAACACAUUAAGAACA